UGAGAGUACGAGCUAAGCGGUAGUAA
rnacentral:piRNA from 1 species